rnacentral:tRNA from 1 species
GGCUGAAGGGAUCGGUCUUGAAAACCGACAGGCGGGUAACACCGCGCGGGGGUUCGAAUCCCUCUACCUCCU